rnacentral:rRNA from 1 species
CCUACGGGAGGCAGCAGUGAGGAAUAUUGGUCAAUGGACGAGAGUCUGAACCAGCCAAGUAGCGUGAAGGAUGACUGCCCUAUGGGUUGUAAACUUCUUUUAUAUGGGAAUAAAACGUUCCACGUGUGGGAUUUUGUAUGUACCAUAUGAAUAAGGAUCGGCUAACUCCGUGCCAGCAGCCGCGGUAAUACGGAGGAUCCGAGCGUUAUCCGGAUUUAUUGGGUUUAAAGGGAGCGUAGGUGGAUUGUUAAGUCAGUUGUGAAAGUUUGCGGCUCAACCGUAAAAUUGCAGUUGAAACUGGCAGUCUUGAGUACAGUAGGGGUGGGCGGAAUUCGUGGUGUAGCGGUGAAAUGCUUAGAUAUCACGAAGAACUCCGAUUGCGAAGGCAGUUCACUGGACUGCAACUGACACUGAGGCUCGAAAGUGUGGGUAUCAAACAGGAUUAGAUACCCGAGUAGUC